rnacentral:rRNA from 1 species
UACGGGGGGGGCAAGCGUUGUUCGGAAUUACUGGGCGUAAAGGGCUCGUAGGUGGCCGACUAAGUCAGACGUGAAAUCCCUCGGCUUAACCGGGGAACUGCGUCUGAUACUGGACGGCUUGAGUUCGGGAGAGGGAUGCGGAAUUCCAGGUGUAGCGGUGAAAUGCGUAGAUAUCUGGAGGAAUACCGGUGGCGAAGGCGGCAUCCUGGACCGGCAUUGACGCUGAGGAGCGAAAGCCAGGGGAGCAAACGGG